AACUGUAAAAUGAGUUGUCAACUCUGUGUGACGGUCCGCAGUGUUUUGUCGUAAAUUCGUAACCUUUGUUGUGCCUAUUAUCAACGUGUUAUUCCUGUGUUAUUUUCACUUCCAGCGAUGCAGUAGGCUAGCCAUGUUAACAUUAAGUGAUGCAUUGUAGCAGAAUUUCCUGAAAGUUGCUCAUUGAAGAAAUGAGUACUACAAAAUGGGCUGGUAAAAUAGUGGUUGGAGUUGAAAUGGCUGUGAAGUGCUUGUAAAGUAUGUAAAUUAUGAUUUGUUUUGUAUUGAAUCAGUACUGACUAUAUAUUCAAACUUGCAGCUUAUGAGUGUUUGCUUCAUUAAAGCCACAGUGAGCAAGUGAUUAGUAUAUCAUGACUUGGAAAUUCUUUUGUAAAUCUUUACCAGAUUUUAAAUUCUUUUGAGGCUUCCUGUUUAAUGGAGAUAAAAAGCACAGGUUAUUAGUUGAAAAGUGAAGAAUUUAUGGUUUUUAAUAUUUUUUUCUUUCAGUACUACAUUGUAUAGAUUUAUGAGCAAUGUGAUGACCUUAAUCAUAACUUACGGAGUAAUUAGAUUGUUAUAAUAAAUAAAUAAUGCAAGUAUGACAAAUUAAAAAGUAGCAUACUUUUAUUAUGUAUGAUUAUUAUUACAUAAUAUACUAACUUAGCUACUGAGUACACUUAACACUCUGAGGACUCUCUUGAACCAUUUCUUUGAAAUUACAACUUUUUAAGAUUAAUUAGACAAGCAGAAAAAUGUGUUCAAAGUAUGUAUCAUAUGCACAUGUAAUGUAUGACCUUGGAAGCAGCUGUGCCCUAAUAACAGUACACAAAUGAAUAAUAAGUAGGUAAUUAUUAAAUUAUGUAAUUAGGUUAAUGGCAAAACGUUCAUCAAAUGAUAAAGUGUUACACAUUACUAUUAUUAGAUACGUAUCUUUAUUUUGAAUACUUGUGUGUGAGCUUCAUAAUAAAAUACUGUACUAUAUUCUCUGUAAAUAGGUGAAAUAUAAGUAUUUAACACUACGUAAUAAUACAUACUGUAGUAGAAUACUACAUGGUCUGUUAGUAUUUUGAUGAUAAUGUUACUAUAAUUAAGCCACUGAAACUCAGAUCUGAAGGUGAAAUUAAGGGAAGUGUACAGUGAGUAGAAGUUCUGCUAGUGUGUCUGGAUUAUGUUUUAAGUGCAUAAUUAUUACCUCCUCAAGGUUCAAACAUACUUCUUAUGCCUUUCCCAUUUUUCUUUAAGCCAGUGCUAGGUAAGGGCAUCAAGUUGUUUAGCAAGGAGUGGCCAUCUAAUAUAUUGACAUUAAUUUUCAUGUAUUAUUAGUUGUUCCACUUCUAGGUAGAAACAUCUAUACCACUGUAUGACAUUGUAGCCAUUUAUGUCAGUUAUACUAAUAUUACACCUUUAUUCUUAUAAGAAUAAUGCUUAAAAGAGCCCCUGUCUAGAAAUUUCUUCCAGUACCAAAGAUAAUGCAUUUUACAAAUAUUUAAGAUUUGCAAUGUAAUGUA